rnacentral:rRNA from 1 species
UACCCUACGGGACGCAGCAGUGGGGGAUAUUGCACAAUGGGGGAAACCCUGAUGCAGCGACGCCGCGUGAGUGAAGAAGUAUUUCGGUAUGUAAAGCUCUAUCAGCAGGGAAGAAAAAAGACAGUACCUGUAGAAUAAGCUCCGGCUAACUACGUGCCAGCAGCCGCGGUAAUACGUAGGGAGCAAGCGUUAUCCGGAUUUAUUGGGUGUAAAGGGUGCGUAGACGGAGAAGCAAGUUAGUUGUGAAAUCCCUCGGCUUAACUGAGGAACUGCAACUAAAACUACUUCCCUUGAGUACUGGAGAG